rnacentral:rRNA from 1 species
UAGCGGCAGGCCUAAUACAUGCAAGUCGAACGGUAGAUUGCUUUCGGGUAAUUGAGAGUGGCGCACGGGUGCGUAACGCGUAUGCAACCUACCCUAUACAGGGGGAUAGCCCGGAGAAAUCUGGAUUAAUACCCCAUGGCACUAUGACGAGGCAUUUUGUUAUAGUUAAAGAUUCAUCGGUAUAGGAUGGGCAUGCGUCUGAUUAGCUAGUUGGCGGUGUAACGGACCACCAAGGCGACGAUCAGUAGGGGUUCUGAGAGGAAGGUCCCCCACACUGGCACUGAGAUACGGGCCAGACUCCUACGGGAGGCAGCAGUAGGGAAUAUUGGGCAAUGGACGAGAGUCUGACCCAGCCAUGCCGCGUGCAGGAAGACGGCGUUCUGCGUUGUAAACUGCUUUUAUCUGGGAAGAAAAGGCCCAUGCGUGGGACAUUGCCGGUACCAGAUGAAUAAGCACCGGCUAACUCCGUGCCAGCAGCCGCGGUAAUACG